AUUGAACGCUGGCGGCAGGCCUAACACAUGCAAGUCGGGCGAGCGGAGGACGGGUGAGUAAUGUAUGGGGAUCUGCCUGAUGGCGGGGGACAACAACCGGAAACGGUAGCUAAUACCGCACACCAGCAGAUGAAUCCAUAUGGGAUUAGCUAGUAGGUAAGGUAACGGCUUACCUAGGCGCCGAUCCCUAGCUGGUCUAAGAGGAUGAUCAGCCACAUUGGGACUGAGACACGGCGCAGAUUCCUACGGGAGGCAGCAGUGGGGAAUAUUGCACAAUGGGCGCAAGCCUGAUGCAGCCAUGCCGCGUGUAUGAAGAAGGCCUUCGGGUUGUAAAGUACUUUCAGUCGGGAGGCGUUACCGACAGAAGAAGCACCGGCUAACUCCGUGCCAGCAGCCGCGGUAAUAC
rnacentral:rRNA from 1 species